CUUUACUUCAACAAUAACUCCAUACACGUCACUGUCCCUACAGCCACACCAGGACAACAGGACAACAUGGAGUUCCAACUACAUGGCGGCUCACCCCUCAGCAGUGGGAGGGCACAGUCCUGCAGCUCCAUGACGACGCCGUCCAGCACGGGCAGCAUGGGCGGGAUGUCCAGCAGGACCAGGGUGAUGGGCUGAGACAGAGACAAAAGGACGAGAAGCAGAGGAUGUUGCCUGUGAGAGCUCAGAGGAGGACUACAUGGAGGAGAGGUCACCUCUGAGCUGACAGACAGCCGAGACCACGCCUCCACGCACUGUACUUCUGGGUCUUGCAGUCUUUUGACGCGGUCACCGCCUGUCAGCUUCCGUCACAGCGCUACUGAGCAGCAUGAAUGAACGUCAUGAUCCUUUAAGAACCUUAGAGCCACGUGACAGGAAGUGCUGCUUGAACUUCAUCAACCUCUUCCUUGUCGUUGCCCCACAACAACAAUCAAAACAGCCUCACCUGCGAGGAAAAGGUCCGCGCCACCAGGUACAUGGAGGUCAGCACCGUCAACAUGCUUCACUCCUCGUCCUUCAUUCACGUCCAACGCAGAGACAGAACGAGACAGGCAGAGACGCGCAUGCGCGAACAGGUCCCGCCGCAGUGAUGCGUUCAUGGUGAUUUCAGGUCCAGCUUUGAGGACCCAAUGUACGCAGUAGGUGGCCACCGUGAUUGUCCUGUGACGUGCACGGUUCUGACCCAACAUGGCGUCCUAUCCCUACUUGCCAAGUCAGGGCCCAUCAGCAAUUCUUUGGACCAUGAGUUGAUUGAAGCAUUCCUGAGUCAGCUCGCAUUGCUAGGCCGCCUGGAGACGUCGUCCAUGCAGGUUGUAACCUGACAGAAGCAGCGGUCUUCUUCACGCUCUGACUCCUCACCUUCAACAUCAACACACACACACACACACACACACACACUGACUGAACUUUGACCUUCUUCUUCACUACAGAGUGCGAUCAACAUGAAUGUAAACUUUGAUGUUUCUUCUUCUAUUCUUACUGUUGGAAUAACUGGACAUUUCACUAGGUACACCUGUACAACACAGCUACACUGCAUCGUAAUGAGAGCUGUUCCUAAUAUUGUGACUAUUGAGCUGCAUGAGAGGGUCACAUUAUUAGAAACAGUUGUCAGUAUGAUACAGUUCACAUGAAUAAGCAUAUUGUUACAUGAAUACAAUCAAGUCUAUAUUAUCAUAUUAGAUCAUCUACUGUAUCGUGUCAGAUGGUGUACCUAAUCAAGUGUCCGUUGAGGAGCAUGUUGAUGAUGUCAUUGGUUGGCCCUCCUGUGAGUGUGUAUGUAGGUGGGGAAUGUUGGGAUGCAGGUUUUUGAAGCCCCCACCCUCCUGUGCAGCAGUCUGAUGUGGCUUUCCGGGCCUGGCUGGCGCCAGCUGCAUGUCAUGUUUGUUGUGUCGUGGCGAGGAUUAGUUGUCCGUCGUGAUUGCAUCAGAGUGAUGCCUCCGUCAUGGCAUGUGUUGCAUUGUGGGAGCGUCUCCUGACCCACCGCUCAACCCACAGUCGUGCCCAGGCAUCAGCAGCACUGUCGCCUCCAUGAACCCUCCGCCUCUCUGCCAUCUUGCGGUGGCAGUUGGCCGUGCGAGCGCCGCCAAUGGACCCGUAUCACAAACACUCUCACAUUCCAGCAGGGAUUUGCGGACUCAUCUAAACAAGGAUUAGAACUUUCUAGAUGCUGAGAUAGCAACUGUCGUUUCAUGGGAAAGAACGCCAUGGGACUUCCUUGUUGAUUCCCUCCUGCUGAUGCUAGCUAACAUGUAGCGUACAAUUUGUCUGUUAUGGCGCUGAUGGAAAGACCACGCCACCAGAAAGACAAACUAUCACGAUCACUAUCAUGCUUUUCCCCCCAUCGCAUCAGUUAGUCAUGCUUGUCUGCGGCCGCCAUGACGAGCAUGUGCGAUAAUUCCGGUGCAGCAUUGCUUCGACUUCCACACCGUUCUGAAAGUUCUCUUGAAGCUCUCUUGAAGAAGUGACAGUGGCCUGCUGGAGGCGGGGCCAUUAAAAAGCGUAGUGAACACAAAGACUGUUUUUUUUCCCCUCUUCUGGCAUCUCAGUUUACUUCUUUUAUUUCUUCUGUGUCACUUUAGCCCGGCUUAAUCCUGGCCCCGCCCCUGUCCUGUCCUGUCUUCAUGUCACAUUCUUGCAUGACGGCCUCGCUCACCUUUGAUGGCUGAACUCUUCACCUCCUCAAAUCUGACCCCGGCCUCUACGAGCCCGGUGGCCAUCUUGGACUGAGCUACUCAAGUAGUGUCUCGUUCUUCUUGUCUUUGUGACGUUUUGAGAAGAUGACCCACCAAGCACACUUUAGCCACUCUCAUUGUGUAUGUGUGUGUUUGGGGGGGGGCUACAAAUGUUAGCGACAGGCUAGCUUGCUGUCUACCACAGGAGUUCUGCUAAUAAUUGGCUAAAUAGCAGUGAAUGUUUGUUGUCUCCAUGACAACCAUUUCAAACAGUAUGAUGUUAUGGUUAGCACAUGAGCUGCUCGUGGGACAAGUAGCACUGCUUAGCCCCUUUAUGUCUCAAUUCUGUCCCUUCCUCUGUGCGCACGACAGUCUGAAGCCUCUGGGACAGCGCCGCCUCCUCCAAGAGACACUAGAGAGAAGAUACAGUAUCAAGUUGAGGUUAGAGGUCAGCAGAGCGACAACAUGGCUGACGCACAUCACGUCACAGUGCUAACAGCGCUGGCUAACUGUGUCAACAAGACAAGUAGCAUUUUUGUAUCCACUUCUCAUUCUUGUCUUUCAGGACAGUGGACUACAAUUAGGCUCCUCCCCAAGCAUCAGCUUAACUACAUGCACGCUAAGCUCAUUUUCUACUUAAGUCUCGCUGCUUUUAAAAAGCUUAUUUGCUCCUAUGUGCUCUUCGUCCCCCCACCGACCCUUGCUGUUAACAAGAAAUAUAAACCAUUGAAAUUCUCCUGAAUAGAAAAAUCAUUAUGCAGUCAUGAGAAAGUCUAAUAGGCCCCGCCCACCAAAGGCCUUUGCUAACAGAGACACACGUGAUGUAAAUAACUUUGUUCUUUUACAUCCCAUCAGUUUUACAAAGUGGUUGUGAAUGUAAACAGAGGAAAAAAAUGAUGCGUCAGCUCCUCAGUGCUAAUGCUAACGCUAGAAGUGUUUCCUGUUUGUGGUUGCUAGGCGACGUGUGAUCAGGGUCCAAAUGUUCCUUUGUAGCCAGUCGACAAGUGUCCAGCCGGGCCACGCCCCCUCCCAUGACAAGACCACAUUCCGAGGAGAUGCCCGCACCUGCUCCAGGACAGUUUGACCUGGUGAGAUGGGGAGGGGAGAGACAAGGAAUAUGAUGAUGUCAGCCCCGAGGUAAGCGUGGAAGGAAGGAAGAAACGGGAGGUGAUGAAAGAAGGGAGGACGGAUGGAAGGAAAGGAGGAGGCAGGGACAAGUGGGUGAAGAAGGAAGGAGGGAAGCACACACACACACACACACACACAUAGUAAAGUAGUGAUGAGAUUGAAGAGGAGGAGUGGAGGUCGCUGAGCAUGAAAGAGGAUAAGAGGAGAAGAAGACAAGAGAAAAGAAGAAGGGGUCUAAGACAAGAAGGGAGGGUCCAUCUUCAAAUGAUCCUCCUCCCCUUAAAACACAUUUGGGGGUCAAAUUAUUAACACUCCUGUGACCACUUUAAUCUUGAUGGGGGUGGGGGGGUGAUGUUUCACCCAGUUGUCACUCAACACUUUAAUUAGUCUGCACACACACUAACCUUACACGCUCGCACACAAUAAUCACAUGCACAUAUCACACACGUAGAUAUUCCUGAAGUCAUCUAUGUGUUUAGCUCUAGAACUUUCCAUCACUGGCUGCUGUUCUCUCAGAGGAAGAAGAAGAGCAGCAGGAAGUGCUGUGGUGGUGAUGUUGUUACAGAGUCCUGAGGACCACUCUACACGUGAGCUUGGUUUUCUUCAUGUGACUAAUAAUUGAUUUUGGUCAGAUGAAACAGCAUCGACUUUACUAACUAAACAUACAGUAACUUUCAAGCGCUACACACAUGUCACGUGGUCGCCAUGACAACAUUCUUACAUGGUGUGGUCGCCAUGACAACAAUCUUACAUAAGAACUAUUAUUACACGGGGCGGGCGCCAUGACAACACUUCCGAUGUACUUUGCCGAUGUACUAUAUGAGUAGUUACAUAGUAGUUAAAUAUAUUAGCAGUGCACUACUAGUGCCGUUAUUUAUUUCCAGUAUUGGAUAUUGUAAUUACUCGCCCGAAGUCAGCUGGGAUAGACUCCAAUAUACCCAAGACCCUAGUGAGGAUAAGCGGCAUAGAAGGUGGAUGGAUGGUAUUGUAAUUAAUUACUAUUUCAAACAUUACAACGCCGUUACCGACAGUCAAAUGUGGUAACUCAUUAGAUUUAUGAAGAAGUAAUUCCGUUACUAAUUCAAUUACUUUUUUGGAAAAUUUGCUUAUAUAACAGCAUAGUAAUUAGUAGUACGGUAGUUAUAUACCAGUUAGUUAUACCGUCACCCCUCAAACACCACGCCCUCACGCUGUUGCGGUUGUUCACAAAGUAAUUAAUGAAUAAAUUAUCACUGUUUUGUGGUUGAAUACGGCCUAUUAUUAGUUUAAUAAAUAUAUGCAUAUUUAAGCUAAAUAAGCUAAAUCACGACAAGCAUUUUCGAGCAUAAAAAUGACUAAAUGAACAAAAAUACAAAUAGAAGGCAGAAGAAGCCUUGUGAAUGAAUGAAUGAAUGAAGAAGUUAAUGUACAUUGACCACAAUGUGUUGGUGGUCAGUGAGACAAUGACCAGACGUGAUCACCAGAAAAUGUUUAAAUUAUCUCACAACAGGCACAAUAAUAAUAAAAUAAUAAUCAUAAUAAGGUCACACUUUACAAUAAGGUACACAAAAAUACAGUAGUUACAGAGGAACUAAUGAAGAACUAAUGAGGAACUAUAAUGUGUAGAGUAGUUACUGAGGAACUAAUGAAGAACCAAUAAGUAACUAAUGAGUAGUAGUUAGGUAGGUUUGUUCCUCAUUAACUACUGUAAUUUUGUGUAUCUUAUUGUAAAGUGUUACCCAUAAUAAUAACACGGGCUACUGUUGGGGCCAUAACAUAUGACAAAUUAAAAUUAAACUCUGAACCUUCCACGUCGCUUCCUGUCCUCCACACACCUGUCCGCGCGCCACCAAGGUUUAAAUUGCCACACACAAGCAGGAGUUUUAUUUGCAUCUUAAAUGGCGUAUUUACUCUUAUUACGUCUACUAUAUUGGGUAAUACGAGUGUAAAGCCAUUUCAAGCCGCCAUUACAAUACACUGACGAGACAAUAGCCGCAGGAAGCACGCUGUCCAGAAAUAAACAAGGAACUGUUAACGUGUGAGUCUGUUAUUUUAUUUAUGUCUAAUAUGUCUAAUUUUCUCUGAUUAUAUCUACUAUAUUGGGUAAUACAAAGGUAAAGGUGACUAUAUGGGUGUUAUUUUAUGUCUAGAGGGCUCUAAUAAUGUUAAAAAACAUAUUUAGAAGAUCGGAAGCAGAUUUUCUAUGCCAUAACUACGAAAAUACUCAAUUUAGUAAUUUUGAAUUCUACUUCACGUAAAUUCACAUGUCACGGUCGAGUCUGAAACCAAUUAACCGCAUUAAACAAGGGAUGACUAUAUGAGUUAUUAGUUAUUAUUUAUAUCCAUACUUGAUGAUGAUGAUGUUUGCUGUGUUCAUGUGAGUGCUGACUUUGUCAUUGGAGGCAUGAAGGCUGUUUCUAAUAUUUUGACCCCCUAAUGUAAUCAGCUAAUGUGGUCAGAAUAUUAGAAAAAGUGGAUGUGUCCCGAAUGAAGUGUCCCGAGAAGAUGAAAGGUGAGGUCAGAGGUGAAACAGGAGAUGACGUUGUCUUCGUCCAAUGGAGAAGAUCACAUUCCCGCAUUGGACUUAAUGGGAAUUCCAAGGAAUGCUUUUCUUUUUUGUCUGCUUUAAGUGUUAAUCCUCUACAAACUUUGUGUUUGAAGCCCAAUAAGUACCACCCCCAGUUCUCUGAGUCAUUGUCCCCCACCCCCUUCCCACAAAGACAUUCCAUAUCACGCUUCAAAACACUUUACAGUGGUGCCUGGGUUAACGUCAUUAAUCCGUUCCAGAAGGUCCGACUCUAACCAAAACGGACUUUAACCAAAGGAAACGUUCCCAUAGAAAAUAAUGUAAUUCCAAUUAAUCUGUUCCAGACACCCAAAAAUGUUAACACAAAACACAUUUUCUGGACAAUAAUUAUAGUUUUACAUGAAUAAAAGAAAAAUAAUUACAAAUGCCAAAUGAAUGGACAACUGAACAUUUAACAUCACUUUUACCAAGUUUUGUUGGAAACUCCCCCCCCCCCACAAAACCAUCAAUUAACAAAAUAGCACAAAAUAAAGACAUUGGGCCUCAUUCAUGAAACGUUCUUAUGCACAAAUGUGUUCGUAAAGCCUUCUUACGAAGAUUUUUGGCAUUCACGAAACGUGUUCUUAACUCACAGUUCUUAGAUCUAAGAACAAAUUCCACGAACGCUCAAGAGGACUCUUACGCACAAACAAAGCUUGCACUUUCAAUGCGCAAUCGCCCUCAUGAUGGAUUUUGCAACCUGAUCCCAAAAAAUGUAGUGCAUAUAAAAUAUCCCAACAAUUAUUUAUCAUCAAAACAACUAAAAUAUACUCCACUGAUAAAUACAUAUUCAAAUCCCAAUUCAUUCAUCCAUUUCCCUACCUCAAUCGCGAACGGUAUCACUCAAUUAAUAUCCAAGUAAUCUCAGAUUCGCAACAAGAUUCUGAAUGUUGUUGCAAGUUUCCCUGGAGGUACACAUGACUCCUACAUUUUCUGAAAUUCCUGCGUUGGAAUGCGCAUGAGUCAUGGCGCAGCAUGCGAUGGAUGGUUAAUUGGUGCGUAAAAUGUUAAUUUCUUGCCUUUUGCAUGUUGUUAUGUGGCCAUUAACUUAUUUUACAGGUGAUUGAGGCUAUGCCCUGGCACCUUGGCUCAUGACACCAUUGAAUAAUCCUCAGACCCCAAAAGAACAAAUGUACAACCAAAAGCACACACGUACACGCUCCUGCGUGGAGCGCACCAUCGGUAUACUCAAGGGACGCUGGAUGUGUUUGGACACUGCAGGUGGAAGGCUGCUCUACAAACCAGAAAAGGUGUGCAGGAUCAUAAUGGCCUGCUGCGUCUUGCAUAACAUCACAGUGAAACGUGGUGUGCCCAUUGCGCACGAGCACCCCCAGAUGAGGACAUGCGCCCCCAGCCACGUCUUGAGCCAGAGCACGGGGCUGCUGUAUUAAUUAGACAGCGUCUAAUCAAAUGUAACCACAGAAAAAAUAAAU